GAAUUGACAUAAUGAUGAAGAGGAUAUGAUUUUUUUCGGCCCAUCUACCCUGAAAUGGCUCCAUCAUUCAUCUCUUUCUCCAUCCCACUUACUCAAGUGAUUCUUUCAACGAUAGUGCCCUGUCCCUAACCUCAGGGUUUAGAAACAUGGCCCCAAGACUAACAGAUUGCAGUAACUUAGUCCAAAGGAGGACAUAUGAGCCACACCAGAUCAUCUCUGAGGGAAACCAGCUGCCAUGUUGUGAAGACACUCAAGCAAGCCAUGUGUGUGAACUACCAUGUUGAAAAUGGACCCUCCAAAUCCAAUCAAGCCUUCAAGAGAUUAUUGAUGUCAUGGCCAACAUCCUGACUACAACCUCAUGAAAAAACCUCAGCAAAUGCUUCCUAACCAAGCUUCUUCUGAACUCCAGACCUAUAGAAAAUGUGUGAGAUAAUUGUUCUUCAGCCCAGUCAAGACCCUAAGAAGAUGGGGGUGGAAUUCUGCCUCCUCUACACAAAUUCUUGCCACGACUUAGUGACACCUUUAAUGAACCGAGCACUGGGUUAAAGUUUUCUCUAAUUCUUAAAUAACUCUGCUAGGUAAGUUGCCAUUAUUAUGAUCAAACCAUACUGAAUGUUUGAGUACCUUGACUAAGAAAUAAAACUGGGUUUUUGACAAAGGUCUAUUUAAUACCAAUGGCCAAGUUCUUUCCACCAUGACUCCACGGUUCCUAGUUUCAUAUACUUACAUUAAUCUCAGAUAAGACAAGAGUAACCGUUUAUAACACUCUUCAUUCAAAGAAAAUUCUUAGUUAUCACAAAUUAAAUUUUAAUUGUUUGAAAAUUAAUAAUUCCUUCUUAUGAAUAGUUUAUAUCUCAACCACAUUGAGGAAGUACUUUAUUUGACACCUUCCUUCCAUAUUUCCCCUCCAGGCAGAAUAAACUCUUUCACAGUGUAGCCCUUAGUAAUUAAAAAUGGCUUUCUCUUCCUAAUGGAUUAUAAAAUAUUGAGGCAGUAAUUUGAGCUUAGUCAUUGUUUGUACACAUUUUUCUAUUACAAAGUGAUACAAUCAUACCAAUUUUGAAAUAGAUCAAAAAAAUUAAAAUCCUAACCUAUUUACUCACUUAUUUUCCCAAAACUUAUUAUAUAUGAUAUUAACGAAUAUUACAUAGGAUGCAUGAGAUCUAAGUACAAAUUAACUUGGAAAAAUAUGGGUUAAAUGAAUUUUAGCAGAAUUAUUUCCUGUAGAAUCUUUACUGUUUUGGUUUGUAUUGUAACUUCAAAAUUGAAGAUUAUGUGCAGUUUUUCUAAUCUAUUUGACCACUGAACUCUUUUAUCAUAAAGCUUCUGGAUUAGUGUUCCAUGAAACUUUAGGAAUGAGUUCAAUAUUCUAUUAUAUAUUGGGGCUCUUCUCACUUUUGUAAAUAAGUCCAGGAUAAAUAUCCUUAGGCAUUUACAUUGUGUUUCAUAUGUUUUGGGAAAUUCUAGGGUAAAUACCCAAAGCCUCAAAGAUAUUGUUUCAAAGAUUAUUAGCAACUUAAGUUUUUCAUCUAUAUUUUUAAAUGGCUUUCAAAAUGAUUAUAACCGCUUUUAGAAUACAAUCAAGUCAUGGGAAUGUCAGUUUUAUUGAACUAUUAUCAGCAUUAGGUAGUGCAUUUUUUCCUUAAUUUUGCUAGUGAAACAAGUGGAAAAUGAUAACUCAUAGCUAUGACAAUUUUUAUUUUUGAUUAGGAGGUAGAACACUUCUCUGUAUGUUUUAUUAGAAUUUCCUCUUUAUGCAACUUAUACUACCGAACUUUACACAUGCAUGAAUGGU
rnacentral:lncRNA from 10 species